rnacentral:rRNA from 1 species
GACGAACGCUGGCGGCGUGCUUAACACAUGCAAGUCGAACGAUGAAGCCGGAGCUUGCUCUGGUGAAUUAGUGGCGAACGGGUGAGUAACACGUGAGUAAUCUGCCCUUGACUCUGGGAUAACUGCGGGAAACUGUAGCUAAUACCGGAUACGACCCUCGGAGGCAUCUCCUGGGGGUGGAAAGAAUUUCGGUCAAGGAUGGACUCGCGGCCUAUCAGCUGGUUGGUGAGGUAAAGGCUCACCAAGGCGACGACGGGUAGCCGGCCUGAGAGGGUGACCGGCCACACUGGGACUGAGACACGGCCCAGACUCCUACGGGAGGCAGCAGUGGGGAAUAUUGCACAAUGGGCGCAAGCCUGAUGCAGCAACGCCGCGUGAGGGAUGACGGCCUUCGGGUUGUAAACCUCUUUUAGCAGGGAAGAAGCGAAAGUGACGGUACCUGCAGAAAAAGCACCGGCUAACUACGUGCCAGCAGCCGCCGUAA